CUCAGGUGCAUAGCACUGGGCCUGCAGUGUGCCUAGGGAAUGGCUCUUGGCUGGGGUGUUCGACUCGUGAACUCGGAGAGGCAGGUUGAGAAAUUCCAUCUGAAGAGUUUGGGCUUAGAGCUCCCUCGUAACUUAGAGAUGAUUUUUUAAAGGACUCAGGUGUCCAUCUUUGGUUCAGAAAAGAUGAUCUUGUACCUAAAUGUCUCCCAUGUUGCCAUUCCAGUCUCAAAUGUCAUACUGCAACAAGAAAAUAAAAUGGUCCACACAUAAAUGAAUGCUUGAUGUACAAUAAAGGUGCACUGCAGGGCAGCGGGAGAAAAAAGUCUUUCCAAUAAGUGGCACUAGGACAAUUGCGUACCAUGCUGGAAAAAGAAGAAAUUGAACUCCUAACUCACACAAAAGUCAAUUCCAGAGUUGAAUGGAACUGAUAUAAACAAUAGGCCGCCGAAUGACUAGUUGGUCAUCUGAAGGAAGAAUACCAAUAAGAAAAGGUCUUUCUUUCAUGAAACAGGUAAUGGAGAACUGAAAGCUCAUGGUGUGUUCAGAGAACAGCUAGCAGAGGAGAGGAGGAAAGAAGAGAAGGAAGGAAGAAGAUCAAGCUGAAAUGGUACUACGGGGACUCUUAAUGCUCCAUUAAGCCAAAUGGUUUGGACUUCAUCUGUAAGUAAUAGGGAGCCAAUGAAGAGUGUGGGACAGGAGAGUAAUUCAAUUCAGUAUGUAUUUUGAAUUGAUGGCUAUGAUAGUGACUAAGGAGAAUUAGAAAGUAGAGGCAGUUAGACUAGUUCGGUGGCUGUAGAAAUAGUCUAGGUGGGAGAGGAGGUCACAUUUCAAAGGACCUUGAAGAAAUGGGCACCUGUGGUGGAGAUAUUGUGUUGUCUCCCAAUGUCUGUUUGUUCCUUCUUGCUUUACUUAUAACCCCCCUCACCUUUCACUGGGUGCAUCUCCAUUCGGCAUAAAGAUUAAUCCCUGCCUCCUUGGCAGUUAGAUGGGGUCAUGUGUCUAAGGUCUGGCUAGCAGACAUAAAUGGAAGCAGUCUCUGCAACUUCUGCAGAAUGACCCUAACGGAAGGGAUUCACUUUUCUUUAUCUUUUCUCCUUUCUGAUGGUUGGAGGCUGGCCAUGGUGGCUACAACUGGAGCAGCCAUUUGGGUGGUGAGGUGAGUUCAAGAUGGAAGCCAAGCACAACCUAGAAGGACCCUGACUCCCUGACACCAUGGUUUGCCAUAUGGGACCUGGACUGAUUCCCUUUGGAACUUUAUCUGAGAGAAAUAAACUUCUGUCUUGCUUAAGCCA